rnacentral:snRNA from 1 species
UUUCUUCAGUAGCAUAUGCACUAAAAUUUAUAUCAUUCAGUGAAGAUUAUCAUAGCCCCUAUAAAAGGAUGGCUUGAAAACCUGAGAUUUAUUUUACAUAGUC